UUCGGGGCAAGUAGAGCGGCGGACGGGUGAGUAAUGCUUGGGAAUCUACCUAGUAGUGGGGGAUAACCUGUGGAAACGCAGGCUAAUACCGCAUACGUCCUACGGGAGAAAGCAGGGGAUCUUCGGACCUUGCGCUAUUGGAUGAGCCCAAGUCGGAUUAGCUAGUUGGUGGGGUAAUGGCUCACCAAGGCGACGAUCCGUAGCUGGUCUGAGAGGAUGAUCGGCCACACUGGGACUGAGACACGGCCCAGACUCCUACGGGAGGCAGCAGUGGGGAAUAUUGGACAAUGGGCGAAAGCCUGAUCCAGCCAUGCCGCGUGUGUGAAGAAGGCUCUAGGGUUGUAAAGCACUUUCAGUAGGGAGGAAUGGUUGUUGAUUAAUACUCAGCAAUUUUGACGUUACUUACAGAAGAAGCACCGGCAAACUCCGUGCCAGCAGCCGCGGUAAUACGGAGGGUGCGAGCGUUAAUCGGAAUUACUGGGCGUAAAGCGCGCGUAGGUGGUUUGAUAAGCUAGCUGUGAAAGCCCUGGGCUCAACCUGGGAACUGCAGUUAGAACUGUCUGACUAGAGUACAGUAGAGGGUGGCGGAAUUUCCUGUGUAGCGGUGAAAUGCGUAGAUAUAGGAAGGAACAUCAGUGGCGAAGGCGGCCACCUGGACUGAUACUGACACUGAGGUGCGAAAGCGUGGGGAGCAAACAGA
rnacentral:rRNA from 1 species